AUAUAUAUAUCUUCUAGAAAUGCUAGCCCACCCUUCCCCCUAUUUGAGUCUCUUCUAUCCUUUUCUGCCUUCCUUCCAGGGCUGUUUCUGACUAAGGUGCAUUGUAAGGAUGCCAGCUGUUUCUGGGGAAAACAGCAAACCAACCAACCCUUACUAUUUCUCAACAAGCAGUACUAAAAAUACCAGGAUAUACUGCUACACUUUUUAGUAAAUAGAUUAUUUCAACCAGCCCAUUUAUAAGCAUUUAAACUUGUUACCGCCAAAUUUGUUGGGCAAGAUAGUAUGGUGAGAAAAUCAGUUCUUUUGAACAAACUCGAUCAUUGUCAUUGUAGAGAAGGAUAACUACUUAUUUUUCUAUGGAAUGUUGUCAUAGGUUUAAAAAAAAGGUACCAGUACCUCUCUCAACUCUCAUUUAGUCUGACCUUCAAGGUCACGAGACGAGUCACGUAGGUAGGUCUUUGCGGCUGCAGUCACAUCCCGGCUGCCCCUCAGCUCGGUCCGCUUUGCCCAAGGGAGGAAGACCAUUCCUGCCGGGAUCCACAAGACCUACAGCAUAGCGGACACAUUUGGAACAUCUUGGUGGCUCACAAAGAACCUUCAUCUGGUCCCUCACCUCCGGCAGCGCUGUGUACGUUACCCAGGCCCCGGCCGCGGAGGCUGGACGGAGGACAGGCUGCGCGCUCGAGCCGAGCAGCGUUCUUGCCAGGGAGUGUGGAGGUGCGGAUGGGAGGAGGGAGAGGAUGAGUCUCCACGUGGCUGGAACUGUGCACGGGAAUCUGGGAGCUGCGACUGCCGUCUGCCAGCUGCCCUACGGCUCGAGUGACUGAGGAAGCCAGGCGCUGGGGGAAGCCACGAAGUGGGAAACCGUGGGUCUCGGAGUCCUGCUGGCCUUCCUGUUCCAGUUUCAGCCCUUCCCAUGCGUACGUUCCUGCCCUUGGCUCGGUGAGACAGCCCUACUUUCUGAUAGCUUCCCCUUUUGUACGUAAAAUAGUUCAAGCUGUUUUCUACCCUUUGUAAGCAUGAACAUCCCGACGAAUCCUGAGGGCUGGGGUUCUGCCCCCUCAGUCGCUCUGGAGAGACGGCUCCCGCCAGCCUGCCGUGGCGCGUGGCGCGUGGCGCGUGGCGCGUGGCGCGCACGCUGCUGCCUCCUCGUCAGUCCUGCGGGGCCGGUCGAACGGGAGCACGUGCCCGAAACAGAGAGGCAAGCACUAGACGGCGCUGAUGUCAAAUCCAGCCACAUCAUUUACCUGCUGGUUGAUCUUAAACAAGCACCGUAAGCGCUCCGAACCUCCCUUUGUUUGUAUAUUAACACCUGCCUUGCAGAGUUGAUUAAGUAAAAUGAUGCAAAAUUCUAGCACAGGGAGGGGCACGCAGUCGGCACUCGACGCCUGACGGCCACAGAUGCAGCCGGAAUGGUGACCUAGAAACAUCGCAGCUCUCGGCCAGGAUAAGUUCUUCUUAAGCUAAAGAGCAGGUGUGUGUUCUGGCUCUUGACGCAUACUGCCAAAAUUCCGUCCAGAAACUGAACCUGGUUACACCUCCACCAGCAGUGUGUGCCUGCGUGUCGGAGGAGCCGACAGCUCGUUGUCCCCCAGACCCGUUCUCCCGGUCUUCCACGACAGCUGAGUUUUACCUGAGCAGACGGUCGGACGCCCGGCUGACUACACUGUCCUGCUUCUCUUGCCACUGAGUGUGGCCAUGAAACCAAGUUCUUACCGUUAGAUCAUGAGACCCACAACUUACAUGUCAUUUACUUACAAGGAAACUGCUUACCUCCUAGUGCCUCUCCUCCUCCCUCCCCCUGGGCUGGAGCUCAAACUCAGCUGGGGCACGUAAAUAGGGACAACACCCUAGGGGCCAGCAGAGCAAAAAGACAGGGACCUCCAGACCCUGAAGGCUUCAUGGAGCAGAAACCCACCCCUUCACUCGCCUGGAGCACUCACCUGCAGCCUGCUACAAUCGUCUCUUGGCUACAGAAUCCAAGCCUGUACCUCAAUAGCACAGUGGAGUUGAUGCCUUUUUAUUAGUAACAGUAAGACACUUUGAAGUACCAAUUAGGUUUAUACAAUCAGCAGAUUAUGUAUGACGAUUUGUAUCAUCCAUGACCACCAAAAUGGUGUAUCACGCACUCACAUGUUCCAGUAUUUUAUUUUUCAGUAAGCAUGGUUUAACCUGCAUUAAGAACAAAUUCCUUUAUUAUACAGGUUUUAGUGUCAGUUACUCUACCCUUUCUCUUCACAAUGGCUCCUUCAUUGUUAAUGCAUAGCGUGUCUCUCCUUACAGCAAGCUACUGAAUUUCGGGUGUAUAAUUGACCUACACAGAUUUAAGCAUUUACUGUGGAGUUCUUUAUAUCCAAGUAUAAGCUUGCAGUUGAUCGUUUGUAAAUAUUUUGCAGGAUUAUAGGUCAGAUUUCUAAAAACUUAAAUUAGUUGUACAAUCCAUUAUGGAGACCAUAGUCCAAUUUUUAUAAAAGUAAUUCCCUUAUAUUGCAGUAGGUCUGAUGUUAACUACUCCUCUUCUUUGGUAGCUUGUGGAAGCUUGAGAUAUAUUUCACUGAUGCUCUGUCAUCAUAUGUUGGACUACAUAUGAGAACCAGGUUAUGUAUGGAUGAGUCUAGAAAUAAAAUAAAUGCCAAACUGCUCUGUGAUGAACACCUUCUUUGUUCCUCUUCUCUCAAGGAUCACGGCUCUGUGCUGUGUACUGACUAAUGUCUAAAAACAGAUGCUUUGUUUAUUUUAUCCAGUUUCAUGGUUAUUUAUUGUGGAAAGGUAAACUCAUUACAGUUGAUUCUUGAGCAACAAAGUUUUGAACUGUGCGGGUCCUCUUGUAUGCAGAAUUUUUUCAAUAAAUAUAUUGGAAAAAG